CCCUAAAGAAAAUAAGAAUAGGCUAGGUUUGUAUAGUUUGAUCUAUGGAGUGAUCUUUUAUACUGUUGAGAGACCAAGGUAAAUAAUAAUUUAAUUUAAGGCUUAUGAUAUGACAGCCAGUUUUGGUAAAUGGUAAAACGGAAAACAAGAACUUGAAAUUGUCGUCUAACCAAAAUUUGAAGAAAAUGGACCCAAAAAAUCAAGGGCCUGAUGAAAAGCGAGGGCCCAUUGACAUUGUCGCUAUUAAAAAGCAACUCUCUUCUGAAGAUCUUUUCAUUUCUAGUUUAUUGACCAAUAUUCCAACUCGGGGUGUUUCUACAGCUCAAGAUCUCAAUAGUAACAAGGUUGGUAUUGACCUGAAUAGUUCUAUCCUAAACAUUUACACCAGGAACCUUGCUUCCAAUCCUGAAAGAACGUCUAGCAGCUAAGCUCUCACAGUUCACAGGGAAAAAACUGGAUUUGUGUGAUAAGAAAAUGAAAAACGAACUUAAACGAAUGUUAGAUAAAUUGAAGAAGAAGAAACUAAAAAGGAAAAAUAACAAGAUGAGGUCCAAAAUUGCAAAACUUGCACAAGCCACCAUGGCAGCAUCUGUGACACCAACCUCUGAUCUUACAGAAUUUGUCAAAACAGAAAUCCCUGAGCCAAGAGUAGCAAGUACUCUGCUUGCACAAUUGGCUGCUUGGCCAAUUUUCAACAGUGAAGCCUGCCUAAUUUUUGAGCAAAUUUGAUUUUGGAGAACUAUCUACUCCCUCACCCAUCCUGAAAAAACCACGUUAGAUCCAAAAGUGGCAGUGAUUAAAAUAAAAUAAAAGUCAAUGAAAAAGUGAAAAUCUUGGAAGGUAAAAGUGAAGUUGAGAAGGAAAGAAGCAUGGAAGAGAAACAAGCAUGGGAAGGUGCUCUGCAAAGAGCUGAGGGUGUCAAGGUAAAAGACAAUGUGGAAUUGCUUGCUAAAUCAGUUAAGAAACGAAAUAAUAUCAAAUCACAAAGUAAAAAGAAGUGAGCUGAACGCAUCGGAGAACAGAAAAAGAGGAAAGCCAAGAUUAAGAAAAAGAAAAAUGAAAAGAAAGA